rnacentral:lncRNA from 1 species
AAAUAUUUGGUCUCGCCCCUUAGUCACAGUCUAAUGGCUUUGAAACUUAUCUUAGUUUACAUGUAUUAGUUUGUGGUUAGAUCAGUUUAAGAUGAACUUCUAAUGGUAAGUCAAUGAUAUUUGGUAUGCAAAUUUAUUUGCAUUUGCAAGUAUUGUUUCCAUGGAGAUUGUAUAGCCCCACUCCCUCUUCAUGGUUCAUUGACUUUGAAACUUUUACAUAGUUUACAAGUUAAUGUUUGUAUUUAGGUUCGGGAACGACAUAUAAUAAGUCAAUGGUAUUUGGUAUGCAGUUGUAUUAGCAUUGGCACAUCUCAUUUACAUGGAGAUUGUUUAGCCAUGUAACUCAGUCAUAGUUCAUUGACUUUGAAUAUUUGCAUAACGUGUGUAAGAUGUUAAAGUAUU